UAAAGCGAGUGUAGGUGGCUCAUUAAGUCACAUGUGAAAUCCCCGGGCUUAACCUGGGAACUGCAUGUGAUACUGGUGGUGCUAGAAUAUGUGAGAGGGAAGUAGAAUUCCAGGUGUAGCGGUGAAAUGCGUAGAGAUCUGGAGGAAUACAGAUGGCGAAGGCAGCUUCCUGGCAUGAUAUUGACACUGAGAUUCGAAAGCGUGGGUAGCAAACAGGAUUAGAUACCCUGGUAGUCCACGCCGUAAACGAUGUCUACUAGCCGUUGGGGUCCUUGAGACUUUAGUGGCGCAGUUAACGCGAUAAGUAGACCGCCUGGGGAGUACGGCCGCAAGGUUAAAACUCAAAUGAAUUGACGGGGGCCCGCACAAGCGGUGGAGCAUGUGGUUUAAUUCGAUGCAACGCGAAGAACCUUACCUGGUCUUGACAUAGUGAGAAUCCUGCAGAGAUGCGGGAGUGCCUUCGGGAAUUCACAUACAGGUGCUGCAUGGCUGUCGUCAGCUCGUGUCGUGAGAUGUUGGGUUAAGUCCCGCAACGAGCGCAACCCUUUUCCUUAUUUGCCAGCGGGUUAAGCCGGGAACUUUAAGGAUACUGCCAGUGACAAACUGGAGGAAGGCGGGGACGACGUCAAGUCAUCAUGGCCCUUACGACCAGGGCUACACACGUGCUACAAUGGUAGGUACAGAGGGUUGCUACACAGCGAUGUGAUGCUAAUCUCAAAAAGCCUAUCGUAGUCCGGAUUGGAGUCUGCAACUCGACUCCAUGAAGUCGGAA
rnacentral:rRNA from 1 species